rnacentral:tRNA from 1 species
CUCCGGGUGGUCUAGUUGGUUCAUGGCGUCCGACUGUAAAUUUGCCUCAGAAUAUCGGAAUGUCGCGUGUUCGAUUCACGCCCUGGAGA